ACCUUCGUGGUGUAAUGGUCAGCACGCUCGACGUCUAUUCGAGAUGUCCCAGGUUCGAACCCCGGCGAGGGCC